GACGAACGCUGGCGGCGUGCUUAACACAUGCAAGUCGAACGGAAAGGCCCUGCUUUUGUGGGGUGCUCGAGUGGCGAACGGGUGAGUAACACGUGAGUAACCUGCCCUUGACUUUGGGAUAACUUCAGGAAACUGGGGCUAAUACCGGAUAGGAGCUCCUGCUGCAUGGUGGGGGUUGGAAAGUUUCGGCGGGUGGGGAUGGACUCGCGGCUUAUCAGCUUGUUGGUGGGGUAGUGGCUUACCAAGGCUUUGACGGGUAGCCGGCCUGAGAGGGUGACCGGCCACCUUGGGACUGCGAUACGGCCCAGACUCCUACGGGAGGCAGCAGUGGGGAAUAUUGCACAAUGGGCGGAAGCCUGAUGCAGCAACGCCGCGUGCGGGAUGACGGCCUUCGGGUUGUAAACCGCUUUCGCCUGUGACGAAGCGUGAGUGACGGUAAUGGGUAAAGAAGCACCGGCUAACUACGUG
rnacentral:rRNA from 1 species